rnacentral:sRNA from 1 species
GGAACUUGUGGUUCUGCAGUGGUUUGGUCACCUCUGGCCACCACGACGUCUGCUCUAAGAAGGGAGGAGCCAGCCUCUGCCCACGGGAAGGUGUUUAGGGGAUGCUGGAUGCUGACUGACGUGGCUUCUCUGUGUCCACACCAGGGAGAGCAACAAGCCCCGGCCCUCAGAGCUCAGCCGGAUGAGCGCAGCCCAGAGACAGCAGCUUCUCGAGGAAGAAAGGACCCGGUUUCAGGAGCUGCUGGCCAGUCCGGCCUACAGAGCCAGCCCCCUGGUGGCCAUCGGGCAGACGCUGGCCCGGCAGAUGCAGCUGGAAGAUGGCGGCCAGCUCUGACCAGGGCAGCGGGCUUGCCACAACUCCUCAGGACACGUGUGGGCCAAGUAGAGAGCGCCGGCCCCUCAAGGACCAUGGCCUGAGCCUGGUGGACGCCCUUCCCUCUGGUCGGUUGUGGGGCUCAAUAAAUGGCUCUGUGAACUUCCCCUGCACUGCCAGGGCCGUUCCCA